GAUGAACGCUGGCGGCGUGCCUAAUACAUGCGAGUCGAGCGAACAGACGAGGAGCUUGCUCCUCUGACGUUAGCGGCGGACGGGUGAGUAACACGUGGAUAACCUACCUAUAAGACUGGGAUAACUUCGGGAAACCGGAGCUAAUACCGGAUAAUAUAUUGAACCGCAUGGUUCAAUAGUGAAAGACGGUUUUGCUGUCACUUAUAGAUGGAUCCGCGCCGCAUUAGCUAGUUGGUAAGGUAACGGCUUACCAAGGCAACGAUGCGUAGCCGACCUGAGAGGGUGAUCGGCCACACUGGAACUGAGACACGGUCCAGACUCCUACGGGAGGCAGCAGUAGGGAAUCUUCCGCAAUGGGCGAAAGCCUGACGGAGCAACGCCGCGUGAGUGAUGAAGGUCUUCGGAUCGUAAAACUCUGUUAUUAGGGAAGAACAAAUGUGUAAGUGACUAUGCACGUCUUGACGGUACCUAAUCAGAAAGCCACGGCUAACUACGUG
rnacentral:rRNA from 1 species